rnacentral:rRNA from 1 species
AAUCAACGCUGGCGGCGUGCCUAACACAUGCAAGUCGAACGCGAAAGUUCCUUCGGGGAUGAGUAGAGUGGCGUCCGGGUGAGUAACGCGUGGGUAAUCUGCCUUUGGGUGGGGGAUAACUCGAGGGAAACUUGGGCGUAAUACCGCAUAAUGCAGCGGCUCGACAUCGAGACAGUUGUUAAAGCAGCAAUGCGCCUGAAGAGGAGCCUGCGUCUGA